UACGGAGGGUGCAAGCGUUAUCCGGAUUCACUGGGCUUAAAGGGCGCGUAGGCGGGCUCACAAGUCAGGGGUGAAAUCCCACGGCUCAACCGUGGAAGUGCCUUUGAUACUGUGGGCCUCGAGGGAGGUAGGGGCGUGCGGAACUUCCGGUGGAGCGGUGAAAUGCGUAGAUAUCGGAAGGAACACCGGUGGCGAAAGCGGCGCGCUGGACCUCUACUGACGCUGAGGCGCGAAAGCCAGGGGAGCAAACGGG
rnacentral:rRNA from 1 species